rnacentral:lncRNA from 1 species
GGAGCCGUGCGUGUAUAAAUAAGCAUGCACACGCCUCGAUCAUAACGGGCAGUGCUAUCCCUCUUGCUAGCUAGCUAAGCGAUCGAGUACGUAAUCAAUCAACACACAAGAGCAAGCAAGCAAGCAAUUGCCUGCCAUGGCUCGUCGCUCCGCAAUAAUCCUGGGACUCGCGAUAUUACUUCUAUCUGAUGUCCACCUGCAGCCUGCAGGUGGAAUGGCCGGGCAUACGGUGAAGCCAUCGUACGUCGUCGUAGCAGAGCUGCAGGAGCAGCUCGCGCUGCUGGACCCGACGGCCGUGUGCUCCUCCCCGACCUGCCGGAGCUGCCUCAUCAGUGGAGUCGAGCACUGCUUCACAAGCUGGAUAAAGGCGUUGGACCCCCUGGCCCUCGGCCUGUGCUUCUUCAAGUACGUCGUCGAGCACAAGUGCUUCGGGUGAUCGAUCGAGCUGCCUGCCCUGCCGCCCGCUCGAGCUCGGCAGCCCUACCCACCUAGCUACUUAUCGUAUGUACUCCACUUGACGCAGCACAUAUAUAUAUAUAUGUAUAUAUGUAUGCUGUUAGUCGUAAUAAAUAAAACAUCGCACCAUGGGAUUUGCUAUAUAUAUAUAUGUUAUAUACUACCAACAUCCUUAAAUGCUUAGAUGCUAUUGACUUUUUUAUAU